GUCUGAGAGGAUGAUCAGUCACACUGGAACUGAGACACGGUCCAGACUCCUACGGGAGGCAGCAGUGGGGAAUAUUGGACAAUGGGCGAAAGCCUGAUCCAGCCAUGCCGCGUGUGUGAAGAAGGUCUUCGGAUUGUAAAGCACUUUAAGUUGGGAGGAAGGGCAGUAACUUAAUACGUUGCUGUUUUGACGUUACCGACAGAAUAAGCACCGGCUAACUCUGUGCCAGCAGCCGCGGUAAUACAGAGGGUGCAAGCGUUAAUCGGAAUUACUGGGCGUAAAGCGCGCGUAGGUGGUUUGUUAAGUUGGAUGUGAAAGCCCCGGGCUCAACCUGGGAACUGCAUUCAAAACUGACAAGCUAGAGUAUGGUAGAGGGUGGUGGAAUUUCCUGUGUAGCGGUGAAAUGCGUAGAUAUAGGAAGGAACACCAGUGGCGAAGGCGACCACCUGGACUGAUACUGACACUGAGGUG
rnacentral:rRNA from 1 species